UAUCCCCUGACCCGUGCAGGAAACAAUUACUGUUGAAGCAGUAAGAGGAGAGAGAGGAGCAGUCAAGAACUGUAGGAGACGCUGUGUGUCAUUGUCAUCGUUACUGAAAAAUUCAUCGUGCAAUGUGCAAGUCUCCUAUGGAAGUGAAGAGCCUGUCCUUACAUAGGCAUAAGAUAAAGGAAGAAGUUUCAAGCACUAUCUUUCGCAAGGUUGCUAAGGAAACCAUCUGAGCCCUGGGUGAGGAGUCAGACGUCUUAAGUGCUGCCUUAUAAAACAAACUACAGAAAUCAAG